ACAACUUCAUAUAUGUCUUUUUGGGAACACGAUGUAAAAGUGAAAACUGAGAAUGGAACAUACCUGCGACAACGAUGGAGGCCCUUGUGCAGAAUCAAACGGAAAAUUGUGGAAAGAGGAUCAAGUUGAUGCGGUUACAGAACGAAAGCCGGUAAGUUUGGGCUAAUAUUGAACCGAUGAUUGGCUUCUUAAUACACGUAUUGAAUAGGUAAAAAAAAUUAGGGCUUUUUUUAUGAAGAUGAAAUCUGCUUGAAGACAAUAGGAAAAAUUUCUCCUUAUUCAAUCAUGAGGUCAUAAGACCUCUUUAUGUAUGUGAAAAAAUUUAAGAUCCCGAAUAUCUCUCUGAAAAUCUUAAGAUACCGCUAGUGUAAUUCGAAUUUCGUAUUUCAUCAUACCCUGAAAGAGGAGGAUAUGUUAUAUAUUUUUGAUUAAUUAAUAAUUAUUAUUAAAUUUUAAAUUCUUUGUGUUUAAAAAUAUGGAUGUUGUAGAGGCGACAUUACCUAAAGUUCAGAAAUUAAGUAACAUGAUUACCAAUAAAGACCAGGAGGUUGAUACUGCACCCACUAAUAACAAACCAAGAUUUUCUGAUGCGAUUCAGAUAAGUCAUGAAGACGGUUUUAAUGAAAAAAUGGAGGAGUGUCUACAGAUGACAUCACCGGAUUCAGACAUCUAUAAUAAACCCAAUCUUAAUAAAACUCUAGAAGUGCUUCUAAAUACAACAGAUGUUGAGACUGUGUAAAGUUUCAGCAAUGAAAACAAUGAUGCUAUCUCAUCUUCUAAUCAGGAUGAAGAUGCUGCAAACUCCAAAAUCCUUUAGUCAUAGAAGAUUGGUUCCAUUCUUGGUGAGUGUUUCAUGGGAUGAUUCAGGUGCUUCAAAAAGCAACCAAAUUUCAUAACCUUAGAACACUUCAGAGCAAAACCAACAACCUCCAACACCAUCUUUGAUUAAUCAAAGUAUUAUUGUGGAUGAAUCUCAAAACACUGCAAAUGAGAAAAUAGAUUCUCCUACUUCUACAUUGACUCCAAUUGAAACAUCACGAUUCAUAUUUUUAUUCAAUUGUAUUUUUAAUUUAUUUCUUUCAUAAUUUGGAUGCAUAUAUCUGGUUUAACCUAUUUUUUUUAGAUAUGUUUAAUCUUUCAGGUUUUGACAAGGUUUCAAACAACUGGUAUACUUGGAACCAACAACCAUGAUAAGUAGUUCCUUAUUCUUCCACCACCAUCCAUAUUGUUGGUUUACAAUUUACGUAAUCAUCAAUUCAGUUCACUUUUGAGUUUUAUUGUGAAAAAAAAAAAAGUUUGUAACCCGAUUAUGUCAUUACCCCUUGAAAUAUUUACCCAAUUUCGCUUAUUUCUACGAAUUUGCACAAAAAUUGACACUCUAAUGCAUACUAUUCUUAGUAGUGAACGAAUGCUUAAUUGUC